CACUCUCUGAGGUCCCAGUCCUGGCUGAGAGGAGGCAGAGGUCAGUUGGCAGCGCCCUCAGCACUAGGUCCCCAUACCCUGCCCAGCUGUCAUCCCUGGAGGAGCCAGGCGCCCAGGAUCCAGCUGGCCCUCAGGCCACCCAUACAGCGGGGGCAGGUCCUUCAGACUGUGUCUCAGGAAGACGGCCACCACCAUUAGGUCACAGAGGCAGGGACUGGGGAGAGAUUCACCGCCACCUCAAGGCCUGAGCCAAGGCCAGAAGGAGGCCUGGUGAGGGUUAUGGAGCCCUGCAGGACACAGCCCCCAGCUGGGCCCCCCAUCUCACCCACUGAUCCAAGGCCCCAAGAGAGAAGGCCAGGAUUCACCUCUUAGCUCAUUCUCAGUCUGACAACCACCACUCUGCCAACUGUUUGCUGAAUGGACCACUAACGGUCGCUCAUUGACAGUCGGUCACUUAGGGCAGGAGCCCACUGCAAUGCUGACCAAUGGCUGAGCAGGACCACUAACGGUCACUCAUUGACAGUUGGUCACUUGAGGGAGGGGCCCACUACGAUGCCAACUAGUAGCUGAACAUGAAUACUCACAGUCCCCUGGUAACCAUUGGCUGGUCAGAGAAACCUGGCUGGCUACAGUCCGUGGGGUCACAAAGAGUCCGACAUGACUGAGCACACACUCACAAGUGGAUGAGGACGGUGAGGCUCAGAGAGGAUGAUUUUCCAAGGUGCAGGGGGACAAUAAGGUGUGACUCAAAAAUAACACAAGAAUUGUGAAUGAAAUUUAGGCAGAGCCUUCAAAUCCUGCAGUCUUCAAUCACUUUAAAGGAUAGUACUGGCCUCCACUGUCUUGUCACAUUACUCAUCUAUCAUCUGCCAAAACCACUUCAUCACCUACAAACCAAGUAACCAGGCAAGAGAGAGGUCGGCGUGAACUUUCCCACAUCAAAAGUGAAUCAGGAAGUAGUUUCAAAAUCUCUUCCUCAACCCUCCCACCAUCUACCAACCAAGAAGUUAAAUGCCUGGCACAAGCAGGAGACCGCCAGGACCUAUUUCAGGCCUCCUCCAACAUAAAUUGAUUCAUUCAUCAGUGUUCCUGCCAAUCAGUCCCCCCAGACUCGUGGAUUUUGUGUGGCCUUUGCCAGAGCAGUUGAAAACACCUGCAGGAAAAAAGGGCAUCUCUGACAGUGGCACCUGCUACUGAAUCCUGGACAUAACGGAGGCUGGCACAGCUCUAAAUUGAAUAAUACAAGCAUUACCGUUGAAAGCAACAACUUCAUGCUCUUCCAUCUCAUUUCUUCUUGUAACACGGAGUUAGUGGUGUUUAAAAGAAAUUUCUGUGAAGAAUGAAUAGCUAACUCACAUAAAAUGACUAUGAUAUUAUUGCCAGGCUUCUAGAAUGGGCACAAUAGAUGUUAAG
ensembl:lncRNA